GUUUAUGUAGCUUAAUUAUUAAAAGCAAGACACUGAAAAUGUCUAGACAGACUUAUUACCCCAUAAACA
rfam:Nomascus leucogenys chromosome 2, whole genome shotgun sequence.